rnacentral:rRNA from 1 species
UACGUAGGGCGCAAGCGUUAUCCGGAAUUACUGGGCGUAAAGCGUGCGCAGGCGGUUUGUUAAGCGAGAUGUGAAAGCCCCGGGCUCAACCUGGGAACCGCAUUUCGAACUGGCAAACUAGAGUCUUGUAGAGGGGGGUAGAAUUCCAGGUGUAGCGGUGAAAUGCGUAGAGAUCUGGAGGAAUACCGGUGGCGAAGGCGGCCCCCUGGACAAAGACUGACGCUCAGGCACGAAAGCGUGGGGAGCAAACAGG